rnacentral:rRNA from 1 species
GGUGAACGCUGGCGGCGUGCCUAAUACAUGCAAGUCGAGCGAACAGACGAGGAUCUUGCUCCUCUGACGUUAGCGGCGGACGGGUGAGUAACACGUGGAUAACCUACCUAUAAGACUGGGAUAACUUCGGGAAACCGGAGCUAAUACCGGAUAAUAUAUUGAACCGCAUGGUUCAAUAGUGAAAGACGGUUUUGCUGUCACUUAUAGAUGGAUCCGCGCCGCAUUAGCUAGUUGGCAAGGUAACGGCUUACCAAGGCAACGAUGCGUAGCCGACCUGAGAGGGUGAUCGGCCACACUGGAACUGAGACACGGUCCAGACUCCUACGGGAGGCAGCAGUAGGGAAUCUUCCGCAAUGGGCGAAAGCCUGACGGAGCAACGCCGCGUGAGUGAUGAAGGUCUUCGGAUCGUAAAACUCUGUUAUUAGGGAAGAACAAAUGUGUAAGUAACUAUGCACGUCUUGACGGUACCUAAUCAGAAAGCCACGGCUAACUACGUG